rnacentral:rRNA from 1 species
CAGUAGCCGCGGUAAUACGAAGGGUGCAAGCGUUAAUCGGAAUUACUGGGCGUAAAGCGUGCGCAGGCGGUUUGCUAAGACAGAUGUGAAAUCCCCGGGCUCAACCUGGGAACUGCAUUUGUGACUGGCAAGCUAGAGUCUGGCAGAGGGGGGUGGAAUUCCGCGUGUAGCAGUGAAAUGCGUAGAUAUGCGGAGGAACACCGAUGGCGAAGGCAGCCCCCUGGGCCAACACUGACGCUCAUGCACGAAAGCGUGGGGAGCAAACAGGAUUAGAUACCCGUGUAGUCCCUGUCUCUUAUAA